AGCGGCAUAGCUAUUUAAGUAAUAGAUUCUUACUCUGUUGAAAGAUUUUUAUCUUGUCGCUU
rnacentral:tRNA from 1 species